rnacentral:rRNA from 1 species
AACGAACGCUGGCGGCAGGCUUAACACAUGCAAGUCGAGCGCCCCGCAAGGGGAGCGGCAGACGGGUGAGUAACGCGUGGGAAUCUACCCAUCUCUACGGAAUAACGCAUGGAAACGUGUGCUAAUACCGUAUACGUCCUUCGGGAGAAAGAUUUAUCGGAGAGGGAUGAGCCCGCGUUGGAUUGGCUAGUUGGUGGGUUAAAGGCCUACCAAGGCGACGAUCCAUAGCUGGUCUGAGAGGAUGAUCAGCCACACUGGGAAUGAGACACGGGCCAGACUCCUACGGGAGGCGGCAGUGGGUAAUAUUGGACAACGGGCGCAAGCGUGAUCCAGCCAUGCCGCGUGAGUGAUGAAGGCCCUAGGGUUGUAAAGCUCUUUCACCGGUGAAGAUAAUGACGGUAACCGGAGAAGAAGCCCCGGCUAACUUCGUGCCAGCAGCCGCGGUAACAC